rnacentral:rRNA from 1 species
CCCGCUGAACUUAAGCAUAUCAAUAAGCGGAGGAAAAGAAACCAACAGGGAUUGCCUCAGUAACGGCGAGUGAAGCGGCAAGAGCUCAAAUUUGAAAUCUGGCGCCUUCGGUGUCCGAGUUGUAAUUUGAAGAGGAUGCCUCGGUUGCAGCCACGGCCCAAGUUCCUUGGAACAGGACGUCGCAGAGGGUGAGAAUCCCGUUCAGCGGCUGCCGGCUUGCUUCCAUGUGUGGCUCCUUCGAAGAGUCGAGUUGUUUGGGAAUGCAGCUCAAAAUGGGUGGUAAAUUCCAUCUAAAGCUAAAUAUUGGCGAGAGACCGAUAGCGCACAAGUAGAGUGAUCGAAAGAUGAAAAGCACUUUGAAAAGAGAGUUAAACAGUACGUGAAAUUGUUGAAAGGGAAGCGCUUGCAAUCAGACUCACCUGCGGUUGAUCAACGUUCCUUCUGGUUCGUGCACUCUGCCGUUUGUGGGCCAGCAUCGGUUGGUGCGGUGGGACAAAGGCUCCGGGAAUGUGGCUCUCUUCGGGGAGUGUUAUAGCCCGGUGCGCAAUGCCGCCAGCUGCCAGCCGAGGUCCGCGAUUCGUCUAGGAUGCUGGCUUAAUGGUUGCAAGCGACCCGUCUUGAAACACGG